rnacentral:rRNA from 1 species
UUGAAACCAGGACGCCAGUUUUGGCGGAGCCAUCCUUGGGAUACCACCCUUGUAGUACUGGGACUCUAACCAUAGGCCAUGAAUCUGGUCUUGGGACACUGUCAGGUGGGCAGUUUGACUGGGGCGGGCGCCUCCCAAAAGGUAACGGAGGCGCUCAAAGGUUCUCUCAGUACGGUCGGAAAUCGUACGUAGAGUGUAAAGGCAAAAGAGAGCUUGAUUGCAAGACAUACAGGUCGAGCAAGGAUGAAAAUCGGA